rnacentral:tRNA from 1 species
UAGACAGAUGCUUGUCGGUUUAAGCGCUUAGCUGUUAACUAGGUUUUUGUAGGAUCGAGGCCUACCUGUCUAG